rnacentral:rRNA from 1 species
GGGUUGUGAGGUUAAGCGACUAAGCGUACACGGUGGAUGCCCUGGCAGUCAGAGGCGAUGAAGGACGUGCUAAUCUGCGAUAAGCGUCGGUAAGGUGAUAUGAACCGUUAUAACCGGCGAUUUCCGAAUGGGGAAACCCAGUGUGAUUCGUCACACUAUCAUUAACUGAAUCCAUAGGUUAAUGAGGCGAACCGGGGGAACUGAAACAUCUAAGUACCCCGAGGAAAAGAAAUCAACCGAGAUUCCCCCAGUAGCGGCGAGCGAACGGGGAGCAGCCCAGAGCCUGAAUCAGUGUGUGUGUUAGUGGAAGCGUCUGGAAAGGCGUGCGAUACAGGGUGACAGCCCCGUACACAAAAAUGCACAUAUUGUGAGCUCGAUGAGUAGGGCGGGACACGUGGUAUCCUGUCUGAAUAUGGGGGGACCAUCCUCCAAGGCUAAAUACUCCUGACUGACCGAUAGUGAACCAGUACCGUGAGGGAAAGGCGAAAAGAACCCCGGCGAGGGGAGUGAAAAAGAACCUGAAACCGUGUACGUACAAGCAGUGGGAGCACAGAGCAAUCUGUGUGACUGCGUACCUUUUGUAUAAUGGGUCAGCGACUUAUAUUCUGUAGCAAGGUUAACCGAAUAGGGGAGCCGAAGGGAAACCGAGUCUUAACUGGGCGUUAAGUUGCAGGGUAUAGACCCGAAACCCGGUGAUCUAGCCAUGGGCAGGUUGAAGGUUGGGUAACACUAACUGGAGGACCGAACCGACUAAUGUUGAAAAAUUAGCGGAUGACUUGUGGCUGGGGGUGAAAGGCCAAUCAAACCGGGAGAUAGCUGGUUCUCCCCGAAAGCUAUUUAGGUAGCGCCUCGUGAAUUCAUCUCCGGGGGUAGAGCACUGUUUCGGCAAGGGGGUCAUCCCGACUUACCAACCCGAUGCAAACUGCGAAUACCGGAGAAUGUUAUCACGGGAGACACACGGCGGGUGCUAACGUCCGUCGUGAAGAGGGAAACAACCCAGACCGCCAGCUAAGGUCCCAAAGUCAUGGUUAAGUGGGAAACGAUGUGGGAAGGCCCAGACAGCCAGGAUGUUGGCUUAGAAGCAGCCAUCAUUUAAAGAAAGCGUAAUAGCUCACUGGUCGAGUCGGCCUGCGCGGAAGAUGUAACGGGGCUAAACCAUGCACCGAAGCUGCGGCAGCGACGCUUAUGCGUUGUUGGGUAGGGGAGCGUUCUGUAAGCCUGCGAAGGUGUGCUGUGAGGCAUGCUGGAGGUAUCAGAAGUGCGAAUGCUGACAUAAGUAACGAUAAAGCGGGUGAAAAGCCCGCUCGCCGGAAGACCAAGGGUUCCUGUCCAACGUUAAUCGGGGCAGGGUGAGUCGACCCCUAAGGCGAGGCCGAAAGGCGUAGUCGAUGGGAAACAGGUUAAUAUUCCUGUACUUGGUGUUACUGCGAAGGGGGGACGGAGAAGGCUAUGUUGGCCGGGCGACGGUUGUCCCGGUUUAAGCGUGUAGGCUGGUUUUCCAGGCAAAUCCGGAAAAUCAAGGCUGAGGCGUGAUGACGAGGCACUACGGUGCUGAAGCAACAAAUGCCCUGCUUCCAGGAAAAGCCUCUAAGCAUCAGGUAACAUCAAAUCGUACCCCAAACCGACACAGGUGGUCAGGUAGAGAAUACCAAGGCGCUUGAGAGAACUCGGGUGAAGGAACUAGGCAAAAUGGUGCCGUAACUUCGGGAGAAGGCACGCUGAUAUGUAGGUGAAG